AGCCUUCAGCAAACCAACAGACAAGUAUUGAAGGUGAUGCCUGCCCGGUGACUCACGUUCAACGGCCGCGGUAUCCUAACCGUGCAAAGGUAGCACAAUCAAUUGUCCCAUAAAUCGAGACCUGUAUGAAUGGCUAAACGAGGUCUUAACUGUCUCUUACAGGCAAUCGGUGAAAUUGAUCUCCCUGUACAAAAGCAGGGAUAACCCCAUAAGACGAGAAGACCCUGUGGAACUUUAAAACCAACGACCACCUUAAACCACAUUCACACCCACUGGGUUCACUGCCGCAUAAGCCACUGGUCCGUGUUUUUCGGUUGGGGCGACCUUGGAGCAAAACAAAACCUCCAAAAAUUGGAUCACACCUCCAGACCAAGAGCAACCCCUCAACGUGCUAAUAGCAUCCAGACCCAAUACAAUUGACCAAUGGACCAAGCUACCCCAGGGAUAACAGCGCAAUCUCCUCCGAGAGUCCGUAUCGACGGGGAGGUGUACGACCUCGAUGUUGGAUCAGGACAUCCUAGUGGUGCAGCCGCUACUAAGGGUUCGUUUGUUCAACGAUUAACAGUCCU
rnacentral:rRNA from 1 species